rnacentral:tRNA from 1 species
GCCUGGCUGGCUCAGUCAGUAGAGCGUGUGACUCUUGAUCUCAGGGUUGUGAGUUUGAGCCCCAUGUUGGGUG